GUUUUGGGCUUGGUUGGCUGUGGAGCACAUGAAAACUCCACAGUUAAGUGUGCUCAGGUGGAAGCAGUACCAGGAUGGGUGACCUCCUGGGAAGUCUCCACAUGAGCAACC
rnacentral:rRNA from 1 species